AUACGUAGGGGGCAAGCGUUAUCCGGAUUUACUGGGUGUAAAGGGAGCGUAGACGGCAUGGCAGGUCUGAUGUGAAAACUCGGGGCUCAACCCCGGGAUUGCAUUGGAAACUGUCACGCUAGAGUGCAGGAGAGGGAAGUGGAAUUCCUAGUGUAGCGGUGAAAUGCGUAGAUAUUAGGAAGAACACCAGUGGCGAAGGCGGGUUACUGGACGACAACUGACGGUGAGGCGCGAAAGCGUGGGGAGCAAACAGGAUUAGAUACCCUGGUAGUCCACGCUGUAAACGAUCAAUACUAGGUGUGCGGGGACUGACCCCCUGCGUGCCGCAGUUAACACAAUAAGUAUUGCACCUGGGGAGUACGAUCGCAAGGUUGAAACUCAAAGGAAUUGGCGGGG
rnacentral:rRNA from 1 species